AAAAAAAAAAAAAAAUUCCAUCAAUCCCAUCCUGUUAAUAUUGAAAGAAUUAAAAUGUAUAAAUCCAACCAUCUACAACGUAUCUUGGUAAUGUUCCAGGAUGUGUUGUUCAAUCCUGCUUUGUAAAUCUUAAAUUCAGAUUCGAGCUCCAAAGAGUCUCCUUGUUAGUCACCACUUAUGACCCGAUCAAUUGGUUGUGGCUAUUGUCAACAGCAAUGACGAAUAUGACUUGGCAUCACAACAUUCCUAAAAAUCAACACAAAACUGAACCAAAUAGCAGAAAAGACGAGAUUUCUCUCCGUGUAUUGAAGAAAAAAAAUAAAGCAUAAAGGAAAAAUGUUGCUUAGCUAAAAUAAAAGCCUAAAAUUACAUAUACUUCAACGCUGAUGAGGGAGGGACUCUUGUUGAGUGGUAACAGUCCUUCGGCUGCUUCUAUAUUUGCGGGAUCGUUCUAGCAUAAACUUUUCAUAGAGGGCUAGACAAAAAAACAGCUCUAUGGUAAACAUCAUUUUCAGCAAAACUUAAGGUAAAUUUUCAUUUAUAUAUAUUCAAGCUGUAAAUAAAGCAUCCUUGUGCAAUCCAUCUACACUAAGUCAAAAAAUGCUACUUCACUAGCCUAUAGUUAAAGGAAAAAUUAACAUAGCUGUUCAAAAAUAUCUUCAGGUAUCAUAGCUAGACAAGAUUUCACACAAAAUCAGCAGCUAGCUUCAGUUUGCAUCUGUUCCUGAAUCGCCUUGUAGCAUUGUAGGCUGCAAAGCGGAAGCUUCGACUUAGAAUCUCUAUACUUGUAAGGGUUAGUACAGGAAGGGCCUGCACACUUCUCCCGUGGAGGAGGAUAGCUGCAUCAAAGUUCCAACGAUUAGCAUUCAGGAAACAAAUAUUCAGCAUCAAUUGGAACAAAAACUUUCAAGUUUCAACCACAGAAUUUUAAACCUGCAAGCUUUAGAGUCAAAAAUACUAGGGAAACCCAUCUCCUUGGGGAAUGUUACGACAGUCCCAGUUGGGCCCAUGACCCAUCUGAUAGUGUUUGAUGCAAGCAUCAACGCAUUAGCAGCCUUCUCCUGUGCUAAUUCUUCCUGGCGCUUCUUUAUUUUGUCUUCUCGCUUCUUCCUGCUGGAAUCUUGACCAAGUAUCUUUCUAAUAGCCUCAGCCUCAGAUUCCCUUGCAGCCUUCUCAACUUGCAUUCUACGUCUCUGAGCAGCCUCAGCUUUCUUUAGUUGCUGCUCCACUUCAGAAAGUUUCUCCUUUUGCUUUCUUGGUGCUGCAGGUGGUAAUCCAUUUGGAAACUCAAUUAAGUUGGCACCAGGUGUAGAGCCAUCUUUGCUUGACUGAAGGGCUCGUUGACGUGUAGUUAGCUUCAUCUCCCUCUUACCAUCCAUCAAUGUAUCAAUAGAUUCCUUUUUCUGCUUCUUCUUCGUAUUACCUUCAUGCUCACCCUCAGAGGCCAGAUCAUCUUCUUCCUCAUAAUCUGUGUCCUCUGAUGCUCUGUCUAAUGUGCACUUCUUCUUCCCAUCCUUCACCAACUUUGAAGCACCCAUUUUGUCCAUGCUAGACAGCUUUCGCUGUUUCUUGCUGAAUUCUUCGUUAUCUUUAUAUUCUCCAGCAAUCUUUGGAGUUCUCAGUUUCUCCAGGUAACGAAUCUCAUCAUCCUCAUAGUCUUCACCAAUUUCUCCAUCCAAUACACGCCUCUUGGGGACCCGCUUGCUCUUACGAACUGGUUCAGCUCUCUCCCCUUGCUUUCCUGAGGUAUUCUUCAACUUUCCCAUAAAAGUACUGUCUUUCCCAAGACAAAAACCACCUGCAGAAAGACCUUUCCAGGGCACUCCUUGCAAACCAGUCCUCUUAUCUAAAUUGGAAUGCUCUUCCACUAAAUUCCCCUGAAAAUUUUGUUUCUGCUGAUAUCUGGAAGUUUGUGAACAUCGAGAGUUCUUAGCAGAAGAUGCACCAUCAGUCGGCGAGUUGGCAUGAAUUGUGUGUGUGACACCACCGACCUUGAGCUUAACUUUUUUAACUUUGUUGUCAUUAACUAAUGCAUCUAAAAUAACACCUGAAUGCUCUGAACUCUGGCUUUCACCAUUCCUUCCACUAUAAAUAUUUGCCAUUCUUGACUCCGAGUCAAAGGAUUCCUUCACCUUGCUUGUGUUUUUCCAAUUAGCAGGAGCAAGGACACCUUCACUAGAGCGCUUAUUGUUAAAUGCACUUCGUCCUGUAUCAUUACGGUAAAAUGCAUUGAAUCCUCCGCUCUCCUUAUUCCUCAUAUGGGACUUUUCACCUUCGACUUCAUUAGCAGAAGAAACCCUGGACAUACAUAGAUUAAGAUUGAACUCUUUCCUCCUAGAAUUAGUAUCAACAUUCUCAUCACUAGAUGCCUUGCUCACAUCAUCUGAAGGUGGUGUGGUUGAUGAGGGUGAAUGAUCACAGCUUUCAAUUGCUAGCUGAGCAUCAGGCUUAGGCCUGCGAGAUGUUUGACUCCUUUUCUUUCUUACAGCACUUCCAAUGCUAUCAAACCGAGCAAGACCAAACUCUUCCAUGAAGAAAAAUCUGCAAUAGUCCAGUUGCUUCCACUCAGAUGAUGAGAUAAAGAUAACCCAUAAAAACCAUGUGCUCCUCUCGAAACUGCUAUAUCAAAGACAUAUGAUAGCGACAAGUCCUUGAAGAAAAUUCGACACCCAAAGGUCCUCGUGGCAGACAAGCGAGAGAAAAGACCCUCAGCAAGACGCGAAAACAAAAGCAGAGAGAAACAACAGAAAGAAGAAAGGAGAAGGACAGAGAGAAAGAGAAGAGAAGAAAAGGAGAAUAAUUGAGGAACAAAGAUUUGAUGGUGGCGUUUGGUUAUAUUUGUAGAUUUAGUGAUGGAUGGAUAGAUAGAAUUAGGGUUAGAGAAGGAAGGAUAACUACAAUGAUGAGGAUGAGAGAGGUAAAGGCAUAGAUGAGGAGUAAUAAUCCCCUCGUUCUCCAUCUUUUGGCUAUUGCCACACCGCACCCUCUGUUUUUUUUUUUUUUCCCCUUAUUGUUUGGGGGUGAUUUUAGCCUUAGCCUUGUUGUAGUUGUGUCUCCUAUGUUGAUUCGGUCACGCAACUCGGUUGAUCCGACUCAGAGAACCCAAUGUCUCUCGCUCUCUCUCUCUUUCUUUCUUUCCUUCCUUCCUUUCUUUCUUUCUACCUCU
rnacentral:misc_RNA from 1 species